UACGGAGGGUGCAAGCGUUGUUCGGAAUUACUGGGCGUAAAGGGUUUGUAGGUGGCCGGCUAAGUCAGACGUGAAAUCCCUCAGCUUAACUGGGGAACUGCGUCUGAAACUGAUCGGCUCGAGUGCAGGAGAGGAACGCGGAAUUCCAGGUGUAGCGGUGAAAUGCGUAGAUAUCUGGAGGAACACCGGUGGCGAAGGCGGCGUUCUGGACUGCAACUGACACUGUAAAACGAAAGCCAGGGGAGCAAACGGG
rnacentral:rRNA from 1 species